GUACAGCUCACACGGGUAGAGCAUUGGGGUUACAACCCAAAGGUUGCGGGUUCAAAUCCCGCACA
rnacentral:tRNA from 1 species